rnacentral:tRNA from 1 species
AAGGAUGAAGUAAUGUUUCACUUACAAUGAAAAAUACCGUUUGGCACCCUUA